rnacentral:rRNA from 1 species
AUUGAACGCUGGCGGCAGGCCUAACACAUGCAAGUCGAACGGUAACAGGAAACAGCUUGCUGUUUCGCUGACGAGUGGCGGACGGGUGAGUAAUGUCUGGGAAACUGCCUGAUGGAGGGGGAUAACUACUGGAAACGGUAGCUAAUACCGCAUAACGUCGCAAGACCAAAGAGGGGGACCCUCGGGCCUCUUGCCAUCGGAUUUGCCCAGAUGGGAUUAGCUUGUUGGUGGGGUAACGGCUCACCAAGGCGACGACCCCUAGCUGGUCUGAGAGGAUGACCAGCCACACUGGAACUGAGACACGGUCCAGACUCCUACGGGAGGCAGCAGUGGGGAAUAUUGCACAAUGGGCGCAAGCCUGAUGCAGCCAUGCCGCGUGUAUGAAGAAGGCCUUCGGGUUGUAAAGUACUUUCAGCGGGGAGGAAGGGAGUAAAGUUAAUACCUUUGCUCAUUGACGUUACCCGAAGAAGAAGCACCGGCUAACUCCGUG